GUUGAGAAGGAAGGCUUCCCAAUAAUUUAUGAGAGUUGAGUGCAGGCUUUUCCUCAAGGGGAGGUAAUAGGGUCUCCUGUACAGGAGUUGGGGAGUGUCAGGUCUGCGUAGGAACAUUUUUCUAUGCUCGAGCAGAAUUUGUGGGCUCCUGUGGGAGGGGAGGGCCCCUGAAAGCAGAGAAGGGAAACUCAGUGAUUGGUCUCCAAGUGGGAGCUGACAGUUUCUGAAUAGCUCCUGACACAAAGGACUAGGAACUUGGGCCUUUUUUGCAUUUCAAAGCCCUGCCUGCAGGCGAUCAGUUUACAGGAAGUGAAGAGGCAGUGUUGGUGUCUUUACCGACAUUUUCUCCUACUUGUGCUGUGUUUUCUCCACAAAGAUCUUCUGAGAAAGAAAUCUUGAAGAGGAGGUGAAAGAAAAAAUGGCCAGUUGUCAGGGACUGCUGACCUUCAGGGAUGUGGCUGUAGUAUUCUCUCUGGAGGAGUAGGGAUGCCUGAACCAGAGUCAGCGAGAACUGUACAGGGAUGUGAUGUUAGAGACCUAUGGACACCUCCUCUUCUUGGCAUCCAGGUCUUGUGACAAAGCCAGACCUGGUCCUCUUUUUGGAACUUAAGAAGGAGUUCUGGGAAUGGAAGAGAAAGGAGACAGUAGCUACACACCCAGCCUUUUUUUCAGGAAGCCAGCACCACCUUGAAAACAUGAUGAAGAAGACCAGCAGUGAUGUGGGGAACAAAGGCAAAAGAAAAAUUAAAUUUUUCUACUAGUUCCAGCCCAUUGACAAGUCCAUGAAACAGGCAGAACGACCUUCCUCUGGGAGCUCAGCCGCCUAGAUGAUGACUCUUUGGUAAGAAGAAUGGGCCACCUUAGGUUAACAGUAUCCCAAUCUCAAGGAUCCUGUAAGUCUACAUUAACAUACAAAAAUUCCUUUGGAAACUUCCUUUCUCUACCCCCCAAGAUAAAUUUUGGCAGUCAUACUCCAAACAUCUGGCCCAUGGAUAUACAUUUGAAGGGUCUCAUGACUGAGUUUUUUCUAAAAAGUAAUGAAUGACCUUCUCCUAGCAGUAGCUAGCCCCCUUAAGUUCCUGGAAACCUUGCUUCCAAAAAUUCCUUAGAGACCUAUGAUGGGAGAAACAAAGGCAGAUGGAAAUGGUAGAUAACAUUAAACCUCCUUAUAACUGGCAGCUCAUUAGCAAGUAGUUGAGGCAGGCAGAGUCUACCAUUUCUCCAGGAACUCCCUACUGUCUUCAUGCUUUGCUAGAAGGAAAAACCAUUGUAGUUUACAAUAGCUAGGCCUCUAGUAUCCUAUGAAUCUUUAGCAUAGGACAAUCCAUUUGGGAACUUGCCCUUGACUUUACUUCCCUCAACUCCUAAGCAUAUAAUCUGUCUCUCCUCAGGAUCUGGGGAAACCCUUCUGCCCAGGGGUCCUGUCCUAGGGCUUUAAUAAAACUACCCUUUUGCACCAAAGAUUUCUCAGGAAUUCUGUCUUGGCCUUUGGCCCUGGACCCCCACCUCCACUCCAAAACCCCAUCAACUUAUACUAUCCCCAACUUGAAGUCCUAUAAUGAGUCACCUAUCACAACCGCAGUGCAGCUCUUUCUGCCCAAAGGACCUGUCCCCAUGUUUUAAUAAAACCAUCUUUUGGCACUGAAGUUGUGUCAAGAAUUCUUUUUUGGCCAUUGGCUCUGAAGGCCAAAGCUUCAAACUACUUCAGUAGCACAAACACAAUUCCUCUUGAAACCAGCUAGACCCUGUAUUUCCCUACAUAACCCCCCAGCCCUUCCCUCUGGGUGGCUUGCAGUCCUGAAGGCCCUAAUGUGCUCCAGUCUCCUUUGCUUGAGAAAGCAAGAAAGCUGUUGUUCCUCUUUACUCCCCACUAUUUUUCUAAUUAUGUUUUGGCUCUGAAGCAUAGAGGUCAGUUCCACAACAGAAUGUAUAAGAGAGGAAAACUUUUUUCUUGCUCUCUUCUCUAUUCUUUGGCUGGUCUAGUAAUUAAACUGACUUAACACAGAUUCACAAGACAAAAAAAUUAUUUCUUAAUUAUGGGAACCUUAAAGAUAGGAGUCUCAAAGAUGAUUGAUGCUUAUAACAUGGGGACAUUGAAGAAGGCAGUAGGAAUUUAGAAUUUCAGAGCAGGAGAAAUAUAUUCAAUACAGAAGAAAGCAAAGAGCAACUGAUUGUCACAUACUGGUUUGCCACACCAGGCACCAACAUCUUAUGAUAUAAACAGUUAAUCUCUGGAAUUAGCUCUCUUUCUGGUACAGUUGUCCCUCCUAAUUUAUUCUUGGUAACCAUAUCAGCCUCACAAAAGAAGGAACUGCUGGAGCACCUGGGUGGCUUCAUAGGUUAAGCAUCAGACUCUUAAUUUUGGCUCAAGUCAUGAUCUCCUGGUUGUCUGUGAGU